AGGUCACAGAACAUACCUGUCCGAUCAUCAACACCAAUGUGUGCACCAUCACCAAGAGAGACUGAGGACUUAAUGAGACACCACCAUCAGACAGACAUAAAUGAAAUUGGAUGUCAGCUAUCCCCAGUGGUGGACAGGUCCCAGCAGAGGAUGUAAGAGUUGGUGAGAGAAGGAGAUCAGUGCCUUGCUCAGCCAUCAUCAGAGGAGAUGCUUCCUGCAAGAUUGGAACAAAUAUAGUGACUCAUAAACAGACAUAAUUGGCCAGUGAGAGACCUUUGAACACUCAACCCUCAAUGGAAUUUCUUCAUCAAAUCACUCCUCUCAAAGCUCAGGGGACCCUGCAGAAGAGGAGGCAGAAAGAGUGGAAUAGCCAGGAGGGAUGGAGGACACCAAGAAAACAAGGCCUUCUAAACUAAUAUGAGCA